rnacentral:rRNA from 1 species
CCUACGGGUGGCAGCAGUGAGGAAUAUUGGUCAAUGGACGCGAGCCUGAACCAGCCAAGUAGCGUGAAGGAUGACGGCCCUACGAGUUGUAAACUUCUUUUAUACAAGGAUAAACGCAGGCACGCGUGCCUGUUUGUAUGUACUUUAUGAAUAAGGAUCGGCUAACUCCGUGCCAGCAGCCGCGGUAAUACGGAGGAUCCGAGCGUUAUCCGGAUUUAUUGGGUUUAAAGGGAGCGUAGGUGGGUGGUUAAGUUAGUGGUGAAAGUUUGAGGCUCAACCGUAAAAUUGCAAUUGAUACUGGCAGUCUAGAGUGUAGUUGAGGUAGGCGGAAUGCGUGGUGUAGCGGUGAAAUGCUUAGAGAUCACGAAGAACUCCGAUUGCGAAGGCAGCUUACUAAGCUGCCACUGACAUUGAUGCUCGAAAGUGUGGGGAUCAAACAGGAUUAGAUACCCUUGUAGUC